GGAGAGGUGGCCGAGCGGUUUAAGGCGCACGCCUGGAACGCGUGUUUCCGCCUCUGGCGGAUCGAGGGUUCGAAUCCCUUCCUCUCCGCCA
rnacentral:tRNA from 1 species